rnacentral:sRNA from 1 species
UACGUUUUCUAAGUGCUGAACGAGGCGA